AAAAAAUAUAUAUAUAUAUAUAUAUAUAAAAAAUUUUUUUUCUUAGCUAUAUAUAUGAAAGAUAUGUAAAAGUGAAAUGGAUCUGCGCGAAGCCUGAAAAGCUGCACUUUUUAUAUUUGAAUGAUUUCUAUAGCUUAAAGGGCUCAUAUCAUGCAAAAUCCACUUUUUAGACAUUUUGGAGCGUUCCUAUGACUCUAUGGGUCACAUAUACACACACUGAGCACGGUAGAAAUGCAUUUCCUCCUUUUUUCACAUUUUGAAAACGUAAAUUUUCUCAUCCAAUGAAAACAGCCACGACCUACUCUGAGGCCGUUCCCCAGGUUUCGUCACCGUGGUUGAAAGUUCUCCUUGCAAAUCCUGAACCACCACCCCCACGAUGAUCCCGAACCAAAACUGGACUUCCGCCAUUUCCCCCCUCUCACUCACCGUGAACAGACCAGCACGGCAGCGUUCAAGUCCUCCCAUAGAAAUAGUUCGGUUCUUGGGUGUUCUAACCAACACCAAAGUCUAUUCACUUUACCAACAAGUGAGGACUUUGUGGGUCACUUUUAUUUUUAACGGACCGGUGCCAGAAACACUGCCUCAGCAUUUAUACGUAUGUGCAUUUCAAACGAGGGUGCGUACAAUGCUGGAUUUGUUUCACGGCUCCUGUUGGAAAAAAAGGACCUAUUCCUAAAGUCCGUCAUCCACUCACUGAAGUAAGUACAUGCUUGAUAUUUAUAAUGUUUUAAAAUGUUAGUUUGUCCGUUUAAAAUGUAGUAACCUAUGUGUGUACUAGCUAGCUAUGCUAACGGCUACAGCAAGUCGACCGAGCCUUUGUCCCCUUCAAAUGUGCUCAUGUGGGCUCCUGCAGCCACACACCUGUGUGGAGAAAAGCUAAUGUUUAUCGUAUCGGCAUCGAGCGACCACAGCCAGGGAGUGGUGGGUCUAGCUCGCUGUAGUAAGUACGUGCUUGAUACUUACUAUGUUUGUUGGUCUGUUUAAAAUGUAGUAACCCACAUGUGAGACAAGCUAAUGCUAUCGGCAUUCAGCGGCUACACGCAAGGAGCGGUGGGUCUAGCGUAUGUCCUUUUUCUGUAAUCUCAUACACCUGCGGGGAACAGCUGAACGUUAUCGCCCUUCCAGCGGUGACAGACAGGAAGCGGUGGAUCUAGCUCGCUGUAGGAGCCACAUCCCAGUUACCUACAUGCAAGGAGGCUGUGAAACAGAGAAAUCUCUGCAGACUGUUGGUACACAGACAUCUGCUGCCCAGCUCAGGAGUGAAGUACCUUUUUGUUUUGAUGAGGUGAUGGUGAGGACAGCCACAGCUUCCAUCUGGUAGAGGACUGCUUCCGCUCAGUCUUCCAAAUAGUGAUAAGAACAAGGAUCACCACAUCUCCCUGUUUACCCUACUUUCAUGCA